CCUACGGGGGGCAGCAGUGAGGAAUAUUGGUCAAUGGGCGGGAGCCUGAACCAGCCAAGCCGCGUGAGGGAAGAAGGUACAGCGUAUCGUAAACCUCUUUUGUCAGGGAACAAAGGAGGGGACUAGUCCCCGGAUGAGGGUACCUGAAGAAAACGCAUCGGCUAACUCCGUGCCAGCAGCCGCGGUAAUACGGAGGAUGCGAGGGUUAUCCGGAUUUAUUGGGGUUAAAGGGUGCGCAGGCGGAGUGCUAAGUCAGCGGGAAAAACCUGGGGCUAAACCCCGGCGAGCCGUUGAAACUGGGGGGCUGGAGUUGGAGAGAGGUACGCGGAAUGCGCGGUGUAGCGGUGAAAUGCUUAGAUAUCGCGCAGAACCCCGAUUGCGAAGGCAGCGUACCGGCUCCACACUGACGCUGAGGCACGAAAGCGUGGGUAUCGAACAGGAUUAGAUACCCCUGUAGUC
rnacentral:rRNA from 1 species